rnacentral:snRNA from 1 species
AGCUUUGCUAAAUGACAGCAUCCUUGCCAGUGAGGUUUAUCUGAGGCACGAUGAUUGCUAAUUGAAAACACCUGCAU